CAGUUUCCACAUCUGAAAAAUGGGGAUGUGUGUGGAGUUUUGCUCAGUCCUGUGCGGCUCUUCGUAACUCCAGGGCCCGUAGCCCACCAGGUUCCUCUAUCUAUGAAUUUUCCAGUCCAUUUUACCACUGUGAUCAUCACAGAAGCCAUACAAGGAACGUGUCUCUAAUUAUUUUGAGGCCAGUAAAUAGAAGAUGUGAAGAGACAACAUUUCCCCUGCAGGAGCCCAGAGGAUGGAAUAGGAAAGCUUAACUGAAAUGGAAGGAGACAACCAUGCAGAGUUCAUGCUCCAAAGGAGAAAGAGCAUUGACAUUGAACCCAGCCGGCCUUUUCCUAAGAGACUGGUUUUAAGAUAUGAGAAUAAUUUAAGAAAUCCUAUAGAUUUCCUUCUAGUUAUUAUGGUAAGAAAGGAGGUAGGUGAGUGGAAACAAAUUUUAGCGAUGGAAACAUUUGGCAGGAAUAUUCCCUGGUGUCGGUUUUCAGAAACCUCAUGGUAAUGAAGUAGACACAGCAGGGUGAGGGGCCUCUAACCCUUUAUGUUCAAAUUUAUCUGUCCCUGGGGGAAGAACAGAGGCUUCUGGGACUUGAGUUGAAGAAGUAAAGAUUCAGGUAACUGCUUGGCAGACAUUUAUUAUUGAAACCACCUUCCUUCCUAUUUUACGUAUAUCUCUUAUCAAAUAGGAAACCCUAUCGCUACUGACUGUGGAAACCACUUUUCAGUUUAACUCGAUAACCUUUGCCCAGAAUCAACUCACAGUGACUUCAGUUUAGAGAUAAGAGGCUGUUGCAGUAUCUAUGAUCUCCCUUUGAAACCACACAGAGUGUUAGACUGGCACAUUUUCAUGUAGUACUCUUAGUCCAGAAUAAGCGUUUUCUCACUUUACAGUGUGACAUCUUAUUGCUAUUCUAACAGGACUGUUUCCUCUGUCUUUCGUAGUAACUUCACUGAAAUUAUCUGCUAAUUUGAGCAGUGUUAUUUUUCACCAACUGAAUUCUUAGAAUGAGUGAAUUUUUUUGCUUUAUCUCUAUUUGAAUAUUUGAUGAAUAAAAUAUUGUGGCUUGACAA